AGUGAACGCUGGCGGUAGGCCUAACACAUGCGAGUCGAACGGCAGCACAGUAAGAGCUUGCUCUUACGGGUGGCGAGUGGCGGACGGGUGAGGAAUACAUCGGAAUCUACUUUUUCGUGGGGGAUAACGUAGGGAAACUUACGCUAAUACCGCAUACGACCUACGGGUGAAAGCAGGGGAUCUUCGGACCUUGCGCGAUUGAAUGAGCCGAUGUCGGAUUAGCUAGUUGGCGGGGUAAAGGCCCACCAAGGCGACGAUCCGUAGCUGGUCUGAGAGGAUGGUCAGCCACACUGGAACGGAGACACGGUCCAGACUCCUACGGGAGGCAGCAGUGGGGAAUAUUGGACAAUGGGCGCAAGCCUGAUCCAGCCAGACCGCGUGGGUGAAGAAGGCCUUCGGGUUGUAAAGCCCUUUUGUUGGGAAAGAAAAGCAGCAGGUUAAUACCCCGCUGUUCUGACGGUACCCAAAGAAUAAGCACUGGCUAACUUCGUG
rnacentral:rRNA from 1 species